UAGUGAAAUGAAGCAGGAAGUGUAG
rnacentral:piRNA from 1 species